GACUUGAUGUCAGAGCAGACGUCAUCAACCGCCACUUUAGACGGUGAUGCUCUGGGCAUUGGGUCCUAUAGCGAGUCUUUGCCACCUGGUUUUUAUAGAGGACAUCAGAUGGGAGAUGACUUAAUAUAAAGACUGAAAGGGAACAAUUUGAAGCCUGACAGUGAAGAUUUCCAAGACUGACAGUGGGGAAAAAGCCAAGAUUGAAAUUGAAGUAUACCAAUGGGAUCAUGUCUGGCAUAUUUAAAUUCUGCUGACCUUGAAAACCAUACAAAGACAUGUUCACAUGAUGGUAUUUCCCAGUCCUCUAUUUAAUGAACUGAUGAAUAAGACACCUAUUGAAGAUCAACUGUUUACCCCUGAAUUGACAUUCAAAGACCAUGCAUUGUCCAGAUGGUAUUUCCCAGUCCUCUAUUUAAUGAACUGAUGAAUAAGACACCUAUUGAAGAUCAACUGUUUAC